CGUGUAGGCGGUCCGCUAAGUCUGAUGUGAAAGCCCGAGGCUUACCCUCGGAAGUGCAUUGGAGACUGGCGGACUAGAGUCCCGGAGAGGAGGGUGGAAUUCCUGGUGUAGCGGUGAAAUGCGUAGAUAUCAGGAGGAACACCGGUGGCGAAGGCGGCCCUCUGGACGGUGACUGACGCUGAGACGCGAAAGCGUGGGGAGCAAACA
rnacentral:rRNA from 1 species